rnacentral:rRNA from 1 species
UNUGGUCUGUAACUGACGCUGAGGCUCGAAAGCGUGGGGAGCGAACAGGAUUAGAUACCCUGGUAGUNCACGCCGUAAACGAUGAGUGCUAGGUGUUGGAUCCUUUCCGGGAUUCAGUGCCGCAGCUAACGCAUUAAGCACUCCGCCUGGGGAGUACGACCGCAAGGUUGAAACUCAAAGGAAUUGACGGGGGCCCGCACAAGCGGUGGAGCAUGUGGUUUAAUUCGAAGCAACGCGAAGAACCUUACCAGGUCUUGACAUCCCGAUGCUAUUUCUAGAGAUAGGAAGUUACUUCGGUACAUCGGUGACAGGUGGUGCAUGGUUGUCGUCAGCUCGUGUCGUGAGAUGUUNNNNNAANNNNCGCAACGAGCGCAACCCCUAUUGUUAGUUGCCAUCAUUCAGUUGGGCACUCUAGCGAGACUGCCGGUAAUAAACCGGAGGAAGGUGGGGAUGACGUCAAAUCAUCAUGCCCCUUAUGACCUGGGCUACACACGUGCUACAAUGGUUGGUACAACGAGUUGCGAGUCGGUGACGGCGAGCUAAUCUCUUAAAGCCAAUCUCAGUUCGGAUUGUAGGCUGCAACUCGCCUACAUGAAGUCGGAAUCGCUAGUAAUCGCGGAUCAGCACGCCGCGGUGAAUACGUUCCCGGGCCU